UUCUUUUUUUUUCUCGUUUUCUUUCUCUUCCUCUUCCCUUCUUUUUCCAGCUGCCAGACCCCCCAUUUCCACCUCUCUCUCUCGCACCUUUCCCUCUCUGCAACCCAAUCGUUCGCCGGCUCCCAGCCGCCAGGCGUCGCAACGUUCGCUGGAUCUAAAGCCAUUCGCCGCAGCUCUGUAAGUUGUGUCAUUCGCCUAGCUGUCCCAACCGUUCGCCUAGCUGUUCUUUGCCGUGCCGUGUCGUUCGUCUAGCUGUCCCAACCGUCGCUCGACUCACAACUGUUCGCCUAGCUGUCCAUCGUCGUUCGACUCAUUCGCCUAGCUGUCCGCCGCCGUUCUGUCUAUCUCACGUAGGGACUGCUGCAGUCGACGACUUCCUUCGGGUUGUGUUUAACCAACCAUCCGACGACCGCUUCUCAAAUCUGGUCGACGCCCAUCAGUCUUUUUGUUGUCGGACGUUGCCACUUAGGUUUUCGCUGGAUCUUGAGUUUUGGUGUAAAUUUUUGGGUUUUUCUUGAAAAUUUACCCAUUUAAAUUUUUGGACAAUACUUAUUUAACCCAUAAAUUUUGGAUGUUGGAUUCAGGAAUUUGAGGAUACUAAACCGCCAUCUAAUGGUGUUUGAGGUUCGAUUUUGGUGUUUUGGGUUAAAUUUGAUUUGCACUUAGGUUUUAGGGCCUGAAGUUGAAUUCUUGGAAGGAGUUGUGUAGGCAAAAGUUUGUUGUCCAGUUGUUUCAGUGAUCGACUUUGGAGGUUGAAGUUGACAUCUUGAGAUAGUUUUGGAUCAAACCACUACUGGGUAAGGCGCGCCGUUAAUUUUUUGGGAGAAGGAAGUUGUUAGUGCAUCAACCACACAUGAGGAAGGGAAGAAGGUGAAGGAGAUGAAAGUUAUUAGUGUACAAUCGAUCUUGAAGGUGAAUUGUAUUAUGAGAUCGAGUUUUGUAGCAUGCAAAAAGUGAAGACUUUAUCAAUGGUGGCUUAUAUCGUGUACCUACACUCGUUCAUUAGUUAUUGCUCCUUAUAAUCCCGAUUGAUACGAGGAGCUCGUACUCGCAACUUGAAUUGGAUGAAGUACGCGUGGCAGGUUGAAUAUUUAGGUCGCUAUAUCUGAUGGACUUCCUAUAAAUCUUGUGUAUGUGGCUACAUGGGAAUGCCCAAAACUUUUUUUGUGUAAAUGUUUUGUUCAACCAUUAUAGGUUAUAUACUUUAAAGAAAUGUGUGGUGGAGGAUAGAAUUUUAGUCUUCUGAUUUUUGGAAUACAUAGCACAUAUAGAUUGGUCUUACAAUUUUGGAAUUAUCAUAUAUUGGGGUGGGUUGAUAGAGUAUAUACUGUUGUACGAUUGGUCUUAUAA